CCUUGUUUACUAAGCCUCUUUUUCUUCCUCUCAAUCCAAUACCCCCACCGCCGGCUGAGAAUAAUGCUUCAAUGUCGUAAGAUAUCACCAGGAUUACCAGGAGAAAACAAAGUGUUUUUGCAGACAUUUUGUAAUAUGAUAUUUUCGACUCGUGUUCUUCGUAAUGGAGGUUCUCACUCAGCUGUUUCACCGUUUCGUUUGAUUCGUAUGACAGAAGGAUUAGCCAUUUAUAAAUCGCGAAGUGAGUAUAAUUAAUGUUAAUUUGAGUAAUAAUCAAACAAAACGUGGGUUUUUUUCCGGUGCAAAAUCUCAUUCAUCAUGCC